GCCCCCGUAGUUCAACGGACAGAAUGAAAGACUCCUAAGCUUUAGAUGGGGGUUCGACUCCUCCCGGGGGCA
rnacentral:tRNA from 1 species